GAUGAACGCUGGCGGCGUGCCUAAUACAUGCAAGUCGAGCGAACGGACGAGAAGCUUGCUUCUCUGAUGUUAGCGGCGGACGGGUGAGUAACACGUGGAUAACCUACCUAUAAGACUGGGAUAACUUCGGGAAACCGGAGCUAAUACCGGAUAAUAUUUUGAACCGCAUGGUUCAAAAGUAAAAGACGGUCUUGCUGUCACUUAUAGAUGGAUCCGCGCUGCAUUAGCUAGUUGGUAAGGUAACGGCUUACCAAGGCAACGAUGCAUAGCCGACCUGAGAGGGUGAUCGGCCACACUGGAACUGAGACACGGUCCAGACUCCUACGGGAGGCAGCAGUAGGGAAUCUUCCGCAAUGGGCGAAAGCCUGACGGAGCAACGCCGCGUGAGUGAUGAAGGUCUUCGGAUCGUAAAACUCUGUUAUUAGGGAAGAACAUAUGUGUAAGUAACUGUGCGCAUCUUGACGGUACCUAAUCAGAAAGCCACGGCUAACUACGU
rnacentral:rRNA from 1 species